CCUACGGGUGGCAGCAGUGGGGAAUAUUGGACAAUGGGGGCAACCCUGAUCCAGCCAUGCCACGUGUGUGAAGAAGGCCCUCGGGUUGUAAAGCACUUUCAGUGAGGAAGAACGCCUGGUGGUUAAUACCCAUCAGGAAAGACAUCACUCACAGAAGAAGCACCGGCUAACUCCGUGCCAGCAGCCGCGGUAAUACGGAGGGUGCGAGCGUUAAUCGGAAUUACUGGGCGUAAAGCGCGCGUAGGUGGCUUGAUAAGCCGGUUGUGAAAGCCCCGGGCUCAACCUGGGAACGGCAUCCGGAACUGUCAAGCUAGAGUGCAGGAGAGGAAGGUAGAAUUCCCGGUGUAGCGGUGAAAUGCGUAGAGAUCGGGAGGAAUACCAGUGGCGAAGGCGGCCUUCUGGACUGACACUGACACUGAGGUGCGAAAGCGUGGGUAGCAAACAGGAUUAGAUACCCUUGAGUC
rnacentral:rRNA from 1 species